AAAAAAAAAAAAAAAAAAACCAUUCCAGAGCACAUAUUUAUAACAGAGUAGUGCGUCCCUAACUCUAUCACUUCUUCGCUGCAAAGAAAAUCUAUACUAUCCUCUAAUGAGCAAAUAUUUGUUCGAUUUCAUCGCUGAUAGCGGUCAAGAGUGUCGCUGUUGAUGGAGCGCUUGAAGUGGGUAUUGAUGAAUCUAGGCUUUGAUUAGUUUGGCCUAUGGCUUUGACAUGCAGAAAUAUCUAAGGCAAUCCAUUGUGCUGGGAAAGAAAGCAGGUUUCGUCGGAACCAUACACCGAAUAGGAAAAACAAUCCCCUUCACUCCAUAUUCGGAAGGUACGCAUUGAAUUUUUUUGGAACCUUUUCCCGGUGAAGAGAGAAAUAUCUAAGGCUGGCCAUCACCAUCAGUUUCCCCACCACCGUCCGUUCCCUUUCCAAAUUCAGACCAUCAGAACGCCAGAGCCGACAUCGACAACGAAAUAGAAGGAGAACCGAGAAAGAGAACAAUAGAGAGAGAGAGAGAUUCGAUCUGUCCCAAUUUCUCUCAAGAUUAGAAUUCACAUAAAGGCCUACUUCCUUCCAACGUCUACCGUCCUUUCGAAACUGCUACCGGUCUUUUAGAAGAAGUAACAUGGAUCUCUUUGGGGUAUGCUUUUCAAUUUGUUCAAUCUAUCAUUCUUUUGAAGAAUCAGGUAUUAACUUCAAACAAUGGGUAUGACCUUUUUAAUAGUUUGUUGAAUUCAUUUUUUUUCCCAAUUUAUUACACAUGGUACAAUCUUAGGUAUCAUACAAAAAUGAAAAAAGAAAAAUGCCUCUUCAAAUGUGGCAUCAUGAUUAUGUGAGCAGGAUGUGCAUUCUAUUCAUGAUAUGUUGCAAUCAAAUUGUAUUCUAAUCAUGCACCACAACUGUGUUUUAUCCAUACUCUUAAUAGGAUUGACUCUAUAUACCUUAUGUGCCUACUUUGCUAUAAUGGACGUGGUUUAGUAUGGUGUGACUAGGCACCAUGCAUUUUGAGUCUCAUUUGAGACUAACUUUGAGAGUUAACAAAACUAUUUUUUGAGAAAUGAAUACAAGAAAUGCACUUAACAAAUAGGAGUACAUUAAUAGAAAAGACAUUCCCAAAGCCUCAAAAAUUAUUUGCAAAAAAAUUGUAAAACCCAGGUAGAAUCAAAUGCAAUCCAAAUAGUGGUAAUGUUUAUUUGCAAUGGUAAAUAUAUGCAUCACUUUAUCAUGCAUAGCGGUAAUGUUUAUUUUUCAUGACUUCUAUUUGUUCAGAGUUUGGGAAAAAAAAUUUGUUUUGGCCAGAAGGAAAUGAUUGUUGAGAGAUUGAAUACAUACUAGAUUGCUUUCAAAUAUGCUUUGUUAGUUUUAUGUGUUUUUCUGUUAAAAUAAAAAUAUAUGGGAAAAGUUGUGUGCUUCAUAUUUGCUUAAGUUGGUAGAAGUCUUGAUGGUGAUAAAUGUUUGUUUGUCAAGGUUCAGCAAAGGUGAGCGUAGACUUAUUGACAAAUUUUUUUCAAAGUAAAAAUUGGAAGUAGGAACAAACAAAGAAAUAGCAAAGAUUUUGUUAAAAACUGUGUUACUUCAUAUCAAGGGAUUAUUUAUUUAAUAUGGUUGUAUGAUUAUUUCCUGCCAUUUUAAAAAACCUUCUUACCCUUUCACUUUUUGUUGAAAUUCAAAUUUGCUGAGUUUUCCCUGUCAAGUAUGAAACUUAAUAAUUCAUGAAUAUGCCAAAUUUCAACUUGGAUGGUUUAAGAUCUGAAAGUUUAGACUGUAUUGUUAUGGGUUUACCCUCUUUCUAUGGAUGUUACGAUCUGAGAUUAUUACUUUUGGUAGUUAUUUUGCGUUGUUGGAAUUUUGCUCAUGAAGAACAGGAAAAGGCAUAUAUUUUAGAAGAUGAUUCAGGUGAAUGAUGAUGGCCUAAUUCAUCGAAGUGAAAUAGAGCUGGCACUUACAGUUCAUCAGGGCUAGAAUAUGGCUAAGCUCACUAAAUGUUUUUUGGGUUAAUGAGUUCUUAGACUUUAUUUUCUGCUAUGGGGAAUUUUGGACUUUUGACAAUGUUAUUAAACCUAACUCUAUAUCCCACAAUUGUCAUUUUUGUUUUUUGAAUUGAUUGGCAUUAUUAAAACAAAACCUUUAAUAAACAUAUUAACUGUUGUAUUUAUUGUAUAGUUAUGUCAAAUUGAUGGUAUUUUAAAUGUGUAAAAUGUUCUCCGCGCAUUGUGCGGGUUAAAUGCUAGUUUCAAUAACAACCAAAACGUUCAAUGUGUAUGUUCCAUUUUAGGACCAAAUAAACAAAAAACAAUAAUAAUAAUAAUAAUAAGACUCAAAAUCCUGUUUUUGUAUAUAGUGGUUUUUGUAUCUUCCUUUGUCAUGAUAACGAAUGAGCUUCCUUGCUCUAGGAUUGAAUUAAAAAUAAAUUAAAAACUAUGGACUUGGCAUCAAAUAUUUUUUUAAUUAUAUAUAAUUAAUUUUGCAAUAUCUUUUCUCAGUUUCUCUUAUUGCAAUAGUUGUCUGUGUGUUGUCUUUCUCAGUCAACUACUAUAAAGUAGUUUUUAAGUGAUCCAAUUAGUUAUAUAGACAAUUGCGCAAGACAACAUGCUUUGUAUUGGCGUUGGACUAUAAAUUCAAUUAUAGUUGAGCAUUAUAUGAAUUCAAAAUGUUAGCAUUAAUGUUUUCAUUGUCAUAUAGCAACCAAGGUACUGCCUUUAUGUGUUAUGUGGAGCACCCUACAUUUGUAAUCAAAGAACAUAGAAGCUUUAUAUGAUUCUUUGUAAUUGUUAUUUAAUCAACUAUUUCAUGCAUUGCAUGGGUUAGCAACUAGUUUUAAUAUGUUUCGGUGCAAGGUGGCCCAAAAUUGAGGAAUUUCAUCUAAAUUAUUUUAGCUUAUUUUUCGCCUAGCAAAAAAGAAAAGAAAAGAAAGUAUUAUUGAACAAUCGGUCCAAAAGUUAGGGAUUUAUUUUGGUUGCAAGUAAGGGUGUUCACACGCCAUUCAUUUUUGGAAAAGAAAGCCAAUCUGACGUAAUACUUUUAUGUCAUCUGGCGUAAGAGACAUUUCAUAUGUCAUUCAAAUUUUUUUCUUGACACCAAGUUUUCUAGCAAAUCUACUGCCAAUUAGUUGGCGUGUAGCCAAUUGGUAAUAGUGUAACAAAUAGUCUUUUUAACAUUUUUCACCCUGGAUUGUUCCUUUAAUUCUUUGGCUAGCUCUAUCAGACAAAUUCACUAAGCUUUGUGCCGCAUAAAUUGUUUCGUCAUCAUAAGAAAGCUCCUGUGAAUUUACCAAUGUGUCUUCAGUAAAGUCUUCUUCCUAUGUGCGUUUUAAGAACCACAUUUGAUAAAGUCAGAACAAUUUUUCUUUCUGCUAAAUUAGUAAUAUAUUGUCUGAACUUGCCUUUUUGAUUUGGGGCAUGAGAUUUCCAUAUACCAUUAAGUUCUCUGAAAAUUUCUUGAAGAACUAUUAUAUCUUCUGUUUUAUAAAAUAACUUAGAGAUUUUGUUAUCUCCUUGGCUAUUCAUGCCAUCUAGUGAGGUAUUUUCUAUUUUAUCAACUAAACUAUAUAAUACUCCUUUAGUCUCUAGUUAGAGAUCCAAGUCUACUACUGACUUAAUUGUUUUAUAUUAGUAUCUAUCUUAUCUAUGGUUAUUGACAUAGAAUCUAAUUUAGCUUCAACAUAUAAUCAUUUGAUUUUUUAUUUUUUGUAUUUCUAGUUUUUUAAACCAUGAGUGUUACUAUCUCUAAUACUAUUUUAACUAGCACUAAUACUACUUAUAUUAUUUUCAAAUUUGUAAUCUAUAUGCGUUGGAGAGAUAGUAUUUUGGGAAAAUUCUAGUUGAGUGGUUUUAUUUUUAUUUUAUUUUUUAUAGAAUUAAUCCAAUCUUUAUUCCAUUUAGAGUUUCCAACAUUUUUAAAACAAAAACAAAAAAACCCAGAUAGACAAUAACGUAUAAUGAAGACUUGGAUGAAGGACAAAAAAUGGAUUUAUUAUUAUUAUUAUUAUUUUAAGUUUCUUUUCAAGAUUCAUCUUAGCCACUCAAACCAAUCUUAGUCUUAUCCUCAAGAAAUGGUAUUUACAUGGUGGAGUUUGAUUCACUUCAAACUGCCAUAAAACUCAACCCACCAAUGACUUUCAAGAAGAAAUGGUUGUGGAACCCCCUUGAAUUAUUGUCCUCCAAAUUGUACUAAGUUUCUUUUCAAGAUCCAUCUUAGCCACUCAAACCAAUCUUAGCCUUAUCCUCAAGAAAUGUUACUUACAUGGUGGAGUUUGAUUUGCUUCAAACUACCAUAAAACUCAACCGACCAAUGACUUUCAAGAAGAAAUGGUUGUGGAACCCCCUUCAAUUAUUGUCCUCCAAAUUAUACUAAGUUUCUUUUCAAGAUC